rnacentral:rRNA from 1 species
GAUGAACGCUGGCGGCGUGCCUAAUACAUGCAGGUCGAGCGAACAGAUGAGAAGCUUGCUUCUCUGAUGUUAGCGGCGGACGGGUGAGUAACACGUGGGUAACCUACCUAUAAGACUGGGAUAACUCCGGGAAACCGGGGCUAAUACCGGAUAAUAUUUUGAACCGCAUGGUUCAAUAGUGAAAGACGGUUUCGGCUGUCACUUAUAGAUGGACCCGCGCCGUAUUAGCUAGUUGGUAAGGUAACGGCUUACCAAGGCGACGAUACGUAGCCGACCUGAGAGGGUGAUCGGCCACACGGGAACUGAGACACGGUCCAGACUCCUACGGGAGGCAGCAGUAGGGAAUCGUCCGCAAUGGGCGAAAGCCUGACGGAGCAAUGCCGCGUGAGUGAAGAAGGCCUUCGGGUCGUAAAACUCUGUUAUAAGAGAAGAACAAAUUGUAGAGUAACUGCUACAGUCUUGACGGUAUCUUAUCAGAAAGCCACGGCUAACUACGUGCCAGCCGCCGCAGUAA